GGUUUCAGAGAGUUUUGGCCUUUUGGAUCACCUCUACACCAACUUCAACAAACCCAAGUUUUCCAAGUUCUGCAUAGUCCUGGCCCAAGGGGCGUCGGAAGCAAAAGACCCACUGUGCAUAUGGUUAUUCC